GACGAACGCUGGCGGCGUGCCUAAUACAUGCAAGUAGAACGCUGAAGGAGGAGCUUGCUUCUCCGGAUGAGUUGCGAACGGGUGAGUAACGCGUAGGUAACCUGCCUGGUAGCGGGGGAUAACUAUUGGAAACGAUAGCUAAUACCGCAUAACAGUAGAUAUUGCAUGAUAUCUGCUUGAAAGGUGCAAUUGCAUCACUACCAGAUGGACCUGCGUUGUAUUAGCUAGUUGGUGAGGUAACGGCUCACCAAGGCGACGAUACAUAGCCGACCUGAGAGGGUGCUCGGCCACACUGGGACUGAGACACGGCCCAGACUCCUACGGGAGGCAGCAGUAGGGAAUCUUCGGCAAUGGACGGAAGUCUGACCGAGCAACGCCGCGUGAGUGAAGAAGGUUUUCGGAUCGUAAAGCUCUGUUGUAAGAGAAGAACGAGUGUGAGAGUGGAAAGUUCACACUGUGACGGUAUCUUACCAGAAAGGGACGGCUAACUACGUG
rnacentral:rRNA from 1 species